rnacentral:rRNA from 1 species
UACACUCCUGCGGGAGGCAGCAGUGGGGAAUUUUGGACAAUGGGCGAAAGCCUGAUCCAGCAAUGCCGCGUGAGUGAAGAAGGCCUUCGGGUUGUAAAGCUCUUUUGUCAGGGAAGAAACGGUGAAAGCUAAUAUCUUUUGCUAAUGACGGUACCUGAAGAAUAAGCACCGGCUAACUACGUGCCAGCAGCCGCGGUAAUACGUAGGGUGCAAGCGUUAAUCGGAAUUACUGGGCGUAAAGCGUGCGCAGGCGGUUUUGUAAGUCUGAUGUGAAAUCCCCGGGCUCAACCUGGGAAUUGCAUUGGAGACUGCAAGGCUAGAAUCUGGCAGAGGGGGGUAGAAUUCCACGUGUAGCAGUGAAAUGCGUAGAUAUGUGGAGGAACACCGAUGGCGAAGGCAGCCCCCUGGGUCAAGAUUGACGCUCAUGCACGAAAGCGUGGGGAGCAAACAGGAUUAGAUACCCCUGUAGUCCCAUGAU